AAAUUUUGCUGAAUUGCUCAAAAAUGAGCAAAAUUUUACAUUUUCUCAAACAGGGUAAGGAACUUGGUUCCUCGAAUAACUUCCGGCACGGACACCUGAGAGCAUGGCUGUCCAAGAAGAAAAUGUAGCCAUUGGUGCCAUCUAUCGACCACAGGUUAAAGAUUGGCGAUCCGUUUGAUACCGACCGAGUUAUAGGCAAAACUUGGUGCAAAAAUGAGGAAAAUUUUACAUUUUAUCAAACAGGGUAAGGAACUUGGUUCCUCGAAUAACUUCCGGUACGGACACCUGAGAGCAUGGCUGUCCAAGAAGAAAAUGUAGCCCUUGGUGCCAUCUAUCGACCACAGGUUAAAGAUUGGCGAUCCGUUGGAUACCGACCGAGUUAUAGGCAAAACUUGGUGCAAAAAUGAGGAAAAUUUUAUAUUUUAUCAAACAGGGUAAGGAACUUGGUUUCUCGAAUAACUUCCGGUACGGACACCUGAGAGCAUGGCUGUCCAAGAAGAAAAUGUAGCCAUUGGUGCCAUCUAUCGACCACAGGUUAAAGAUUGGCGAUCCGUUGUAUACCGACCGAGUUAUAGGCAAAACUUGGUGCAACAAUGAGCCUUAGUAAAUUUUCAUUUUUUUGAAUUUUUUGAUUUUUUUAUUAUUUUUCACUCUUUUUUUUAUUUAAAGCAUUACUUGAGUGAAAAGAAACACAUUGCAACCAAUUGGCAUUAAAAUAAAUCAAUUUAAUUUUUUUUGCAAAAUUUCCCAAAAAAAACGUAAGGGGUAAGCCUUAUGAAAUUUUCGAGUUGAAAUUUUUUUCAAAUUUUUUUUCUGAUUUUUUAUUAUUUUUCUAAUUUAAAGCAUUAUUUGAGUGAAAAGAAACUUAUUGCAACAAACUCCCAUUAAAAUAUAUCACAUUUUUCAAUUUUGCUACAUUGGUGAAAAAUGAGGAAAAUUUUACAUUUUCUCAAACAGGGUAUGGAACUUGGUUCUUCGAAUAACUUCUGGCACAGACAUCUGAGAGCAUGGCUGUCCAAGAAGAAAAUGUAGCCAUUGGUGCCAUCUAUCGACCACAGGUUAAAGAUUGGCAAUCCGUUGGAUACCGACCGAGUUAUAGGCAAAACUUGCUGCAAAAAUGAGGAAAAUUUUAUAUUUUAUCAAACAGGGUAAGGAACUUGGUUCCUCGAAUAACUUUUGGCACAGACAUCUGAGGGCAUAACCGUUCAUGAAGAAAAUGUAGCCAUUAGUGCCAUCUAUCGACCACAGGUUAAAGAUUGGCGAUCCGUUGGAUA